rnacentral:rRNA from 1 species
UGAUCCUGCCGGAGGCCAUUGCUAUCGGAGUUCGAUUUAGCCAUGCUAGUCGCACGGGUUUAGACCCGUGGCAGAUAGCUCAGUGACACGUGGCCAAACUACCCUAUGGACAGGCAUAACCUCGGGAAACUGAGGCCAAUUCCUGAUACCGCUUCCCUCCUGGAAUGGGAGAAGCACCAAACGUUACGGCGCCAUAGGAUGUGGCUGCGGCCGAUUAGGUAGACGGUGAGGUAACGGCUCACCGUGCCCAUAAUCGGUACGGGUUGUGAGAGCAAGAGCCCGGAGACGGUAUCUGAGACAAGAUACCGGGCCCUACGGGGCGCAGCAGGCGCGAAAACUUUACACUGCACGACAGUGCGAUAAGGGAACUCCGAGUGCGAGGGCAUAUCGUCCUCGCUUUUCUGUACCGUAGGGAGGUACAAGAAUAAGGGCUGGGCAAGACCGGUGCCAGCCGCCGCGGUAACACCGGCAGCCCGAGUGAUGGCCGAUAUUAUUUGGGCCUAAAGCGUCCGUAGCCAGCUGAAACAGGUCCCGUCGGGAAAAUCUGCUCGCUCAACGAGCAGGCGUCCCGGCGGAAAACCAGUCAGCUUUGGGACCCGAAAGGAACCGAAAGGGUACGUCCCGGGGUAGGAAGUGAAAAUCCCCGUAAUCCUUGGACGGACCCACCCGAUGGCGAAAGCACUUUCGGUAGAUUCGGAUUCCGAACGGUGAAGGGACGAAAGCUAGGGUCACGAAACCGGAUUAGAUACCCCGGGGUAGUCCCUAGCCCGUAAACGAUGCUCGUUAGGUGUGGCGCAAUCUACGAGUUUUGUGCCGUGCCGCAGCGAAGCGAUAAACGAGCCGCCUGGGAAGUACGUCCGCAAGGAUGAAACUUUAAAGGAAUUUGGGCGGGGGGAACACUACAACCGGGAGGAGCCUGCGGUUUAUCGGACUCAACGCCCGGACAUCUUCACCAG